rnacentral:rRNA from 1 species
AAUGCGACCUCAGCUCAGGCGGGGCUACCCGCUGAGUUUAAGCAUAUCAAUAAGCGAGGAAAAG